GAUGAACGCUGGCGGCGUGCCUAAUACAUGCAAGUCGAGCGAACAGACGAGGAGCUUGCUCCUCUGACGUUAGCGGCGGACGGGUGAGUAACACGUGGAUAACCUACCUAUAAGACUGGGAUAACUUCGGGAAACCGGAGCUAAUACCGGAUAAUAUAUUGAACCGCAUGGUUCAAUAGUGAAAGACGGUUUUGCUGUCACUUAUAGAUGGAUCCGCGCCGCAUUAGCUAGUUGGUAAGGUAACGGCUUACCAAGGCAACGAUGCGUAGCCGACCUGAGAGGGUGAUCGGCCACACUGGAACUGAGACACGGUCCAGACUCCUACGGGAGGCAGCAGUAGGGAAUCUUCCGCAAAGGGCGAAAGCCUGACGGAGCAACGCCGCGUGAGUGAUGAAGGUCUUCGGAUCGUAAAACUCUGUUAUUAGGGAAGAACAAAUGUGUAAGUAACUAUGCACGUCUUGUCGGUACCUAAUCAGAAAGCCACGGCUAACUACGUG
rnacentral:rRNA from 1 species